UGUGUAGGCGGUUGUUUAAGUUUGGUGUGAAAUCUCCCGGCUCAACCGGGAGGGUGCGCCGAAUACUGAGCGACUAGAGUGCGGGAGAGGAGAGUGGAAUUCCUGGUGUAGCGGUGAAAUGCGUAGAUAUCAGGAGGAACACCGGUGGUGCAGACGGCUCUCUGGACCGCAACUGACGCUGAGACACGAAGGCGUGGGUAGCAAACAGGAUUAGAUACCCUGGUAGUCCACGCCCUAAACGAUGCAUAUUUGGUGUGGGUCAUUCAGUUGAUCCGUGCCGGAGCUAACGCGUUAAAUAUGCCGCCUGGGGAGUACAGUCGCAAGGCUGAA
rnacentral:rRNA from 1 species